CUAACUGUUAAUGAUAAGAAAAUAAGUUGAAGGUGCUAUAUGAUAGAAAUAAGAAAAUAAUUCAACACAAUAGAUUGUCUUACAAGCAAAUAUAUACUGGUAGAACUUACGAGAACACAAAGGCUCUUUUCUUCUCCAAUUUCUUUCAAAAGAAGAAAAGGCUGGUGAAUCAGCUCCUUGGGCUACCAACAAAAUGUUGCUUUCUGAAAAUGCUAGUUGGGAAGCUCUACUGCAAACACAGGCUGCAAAAGGCAACCAGCGUGCAGCAGCAAAUGCGCUCAAAAUAAGGCCAUUAUCAUGUCUAAAACCUAUAGAUAUCGUAAUUGAAUGUGAUGCUCCAUAUGCAGGGUGCCCAACCUUCUAAUUUUAUGGGUAUCCAAUCUCGAGCAUUUACAGGAAUAUUGGGCCUCAAUCCUCUCUGGCAUGCAACAAUCAGGCCAUAUCUUUUGGAAACUUG
rnacentral:misc_RNA from 1 species